GGGGAUGUAGCUCAGCUGGGAGAGCAUCCGCUUGACGUGCGGAAGGUCCACGGUUCGAGCCCGUGCGUCCCCACCA
rnacentral:tRNA from 2 species